GAGUUUGAUCAUGGCUCAGGACGAACGCUGGCGGCGUGCCUAACACAUGCAAGUCGAGCGAUGAAGCUCCUUCGGGAGUGGAUUAGCGGCGGACGGGUGAGUAACACGUGGGUAACCUGCCUCAUAGAGGGGAAUAGCCUCCCGAAAGGGAGAUUAAUACCGCAUAAUGUAUGAGAAUCGCAUGAUUUUUGUACCAAAGGAGUAAUCCGCUAUGAGAUGGACCCGCGGCGCAUUAGCUAGUUGGUGAGGUAAAGGCUCACCAAGGCGACGAUGCGUAGCCGACCUGAGAGGGUGAUCGGCCACAUUGGAACUGAGACACGGUCCAGACUCCUACGGGAGGCAGCAGUGGGGAAUAUUGCGCAAUGGGGGAAACCCUGACGCAGCAACGCCGCGUGAAUGAAGAAGGCCUUAGGGUUGUAAAGUUCUGUCAUAUGGGAAGAUAAUGACGGUACCAUAUGAGGAAGCCACGGCUAACUACGUGCCAGCAGCCGCGGUAACAC
rnacentral:rRNA from 1 species